rnacentral:rRNA from 1 species
UAGGCGAUGGAUAACAGGUUGAUAUUCCUGUACCACCAUUAUUCGUUUUAAGCGAUGGGGGGACGCAGUAGGAUAGGCGAAGCGUGCUGUUGGAGUGCACGUCCAAGCAGUGAGAUUGAGUGUUAGGCAAAUCCGGCACUCUUAAGAUUGAGCUGUGAUGGGGAGAGGAACUUGUUCCUCGAGUCGUUGAUUUCACACUGCCGAGAAAAGCCUCUAGCUAGAAUAACGGUGCCCGUACCGCAAACCGACACAGGUAGUCAAGAUGAGAAUUCUAAGGUGAGCGAGCGAACUCUCGUUAAGGAACUCGGCAAAAUGACCCCGUAACUUCGGGAGAAGGGGUGCUCUUUGAGGUUCACGCUUCGAAGAGCCGCAGUGAAUAGGCCCAAGCGACUGUUUAUCAAAAACACAGGUCUCUGCUAAACCGUAAGGUGACGUAUAGGGGCUGACGCCUGCCCGGUGCUGGAAGGUUAAGAGGAGUGGUUAGCGCAAGCGAAGCUACGAAUCGAAGCCCCAGUAAACGGCGGCCGUAACUAUAACGGUCCUAAGGUAGCGAAAUUCCUUGUCGGGUAAGUUCCGACCCGCACGAAAGGCGUAACGAUUUGGGCACUGUCUCAACGAGAGACUCGGUGAAAUCAUAGUACCGGUGAAGAUGCCGGUUACCCGCGACAGGACGGAAAGACCCCGUGGAGCUUUACUGUAGCCUGAUAUUGAAAUUCGGUACAGUUUGUACAGGAUAGGUAGGAGCCUUAGAAGCGUGAGCGCUAGCUUACGUGGAGGCAUUGGUGGGAUACUACCCUAAUUGUAUUGGAUUUCUAACCCGCAGCACUUAUCGUGCUGGGAGACAGUGUCAGGCGGGCAGUUUGACUGGGGCGGUCGCCUCCUAAAGAGUAACGGAGGCGCUCAAAGGUUCCCUCAGAAUGGUUGGAAAUCAUUCAUAGAGUGUAAAGGCAUAAGGGAGCUUGACUGCGAGACCUACAAGUCGAGCAGGGUCGAAAGACGGACUUAGUGAUCCGGUGGUUCCGCAUGGAAGGGCCAUCGCUCAACGGAUAAAAGCUACCCCGGGGAUAACAGGCUUAUCUCCCCCAAGAGUUCACAUCGACGGGGAGGUUUGGCACCUCGAUGUCGGCUCAUCGCAUCCUGGGGCUGUAGUCGGUCCCAAGGGUUGGGCUGUUCGCCCAUUAAAGCGGUACGCGAGCUGGGUUCAGAACGUCGUGAGACAGUUCGGUCCCUAUCCGUCGUGGGCGUAGGAAAUUUGAGAGGAGCUGUCCUUAGUACGAGAGGACCGGGAUGGACAUACCUCUGGUGUACCAGUUGUCGUGCCAACGGCAUAGCUGGGUAGCUAUGUAUGGACGGGAUAAGUGCUGAAAGCAUCUAAGCAUGAAGCCCCCCUCGAGAUGAGAUUUCCCAACUUC